rnacentral:rRNA from 1 species
CAGGAUGAACGUUGGCAGUGUGCCUAAGACAUGCAAGUCGAACGAAGCGCUAGUGCGGAACUCUUCGGAGGGAAGGAUUAGUGACUGAGUGGCAAACGGGUGAGUAACACGUGGAUGACCUACCCUGAAGUGGGGGAUAACCUUGGGAAACCAGGACUAAUCCCGCAUGUGCUUGUUGGUUGUGACCAAUAAGGAAAGAUUUAUUGCUUUAGGAUGGGUCCGCGGGCCAUCAGCUAGUUGGUGAGGUAAAGGCUCACCAAGGCAACGACGGCUAGCCGGCCUGAGAGGGUGAACGGCCACAGGGGUACUGAGACACGGACCCCACUCCUACGGGAGGCAGCAGUUAGGAAUCUUCCACAAUGGGCGCAAGCCUGAUGGAGCGACACUGCGUGAGGGAAGAAGGCUUUCGGGUUGUAAACCUCUAAAAGUAGGACGAUAAUGACGGUACUACUUGAGAAGCACCGGCUAACUCCGUGCCAGCAGCCGCGGUAAUACGGAGGGUGCAAACGUUAUCCGGAAUCACUGGGCGUAAAGGGCACGCAGGCGGUUAGUUAAGUCCGAUGUUAAAGCGUGGGGCUCAACCCCAUACGGGCGUUGGAUACUGGCUAACUAGACUCUUGGAGAGGUAAGUAGAAUUACCAGUGUAGCGGUGGAAUGCGUAGAUACUGGUAGGAAUACCAAUAGCGAAGGCAGCUUACUAGACAAUGAGUGACGCUGAGGUGCGAAAGUGUGGGGAGCAAACCGGAUUAGAUACCCGGGUAGUCCACACCCUAAACGAUGCAUACUUGGUGUGGGUGCGCAGGCAUCAGCGCC